UUAAUGACUGUUCUGCCUCAGUAAGGAAAUGUGUUGAGUGUCUUAACUAUUACAUCGCAGAGGGUGGAAAGGCAUUUUAAGAUCUUGAAACCAUCAUAGAAAAACUCUGCACAUCCAGUGAAAAGAAGAAAGAACUGAAAUCCAAAUUGCUAAAUGGGAAGCGAUAUAUCAAAUCAGAUAUCAAGGUACAUAUCCAAAAAGAGAAUGCUGUUCCGGAUCAUUGCCAAAUGUUUGCACUAAGUGAUAGUGAAAAGUGCUUCUCCCAAAGUUGUAACACCCAGCAUACACACAGUUGUGAACAGUGUAUUGACUUGGCAGACUUUUUAGCUGAAAUAAGUACUCUAACACAAAAUGGUACAUGGGACAAUAAAGAUUCCAUUGUAUUCCAGGUUGAAAAUGCUGUAGAAGCUAUAAAAGAUUGGAAAGUCAUGCUAUGAGAGCUAGGAAUCAAGAAGGUGCAAAACAAGAUCUGCUUAAGAAUUUAAAUGAAAAUCAAGCACUUAUCACAUGUGACUGGGCGAUGAAAUUUCUACCACGCAAAUUUAGAGAAGGUCAGAGUGACUGGUUCGCCAAACGUGGAAUCAACUGGCACACUUCAGUAACUUUAUACAAACAAGGGGAAGAACUAAAGACAAUUACACAUGUACACAAUUUUUCA